rnacentral:lncRNA from 1 species
GACUGAUGUUUAGGUCGUGAUGGGGGAAGGGUGAUGAGAGGGAGCACUUGCUAUAUUGAAUGAAUGGGUGAAUAUCUAAUUGAUGGAAUAAAGGUGGGGGAAAUAAUUUUGAGUGUAGGGAACAUAUGAUAGGGGUCAUUGAAAGAAGAAACAUCUUUCCAGACCUGCUUACCUCCGUCCUCCCCUGCACAGCCUGGCCUGAGCUGCAUCCUUAAACCAUCUGUGCUUGGUGGCCUAGAAUCUAGAAAGCGUGACGCCUACCUACAAUGGAGACACAGCAAGAAAAGGGCCAUUUGUGAACCAGGAAGUGGAGCCUCACAAGACUCUCAAUCACUGACACCUUGAUCUAAGAAUUCUCAGUCUCCAUAAUGGUGAGAAAUAAAUUUCCUUUGUUUAUGAGACACCAGUCUAUGGCAUUUUUAUAAUAGAAGUCUG